GGAGGGGAGAAAAAUGUUUCUAAUAACAGAAAAUGUAUUAGGACAUCCAAAGGGGGUAGGGGGGGUGGGUGGUAACAUCCAAUUUCCUCCGUGGGGGAGGUAUGGAUGUUUUCUGGAAUGACUCAUUCAACUUUAAUUAACACAACAGAUAUGCAAGUUAUUCUUACAACAAAAAAUUGGCAUAAAAUAUUAAAAGAAUUCAUUUGAAUUGUCAUUUGGCAUACACAAACAGUUAUACGAGUCCAAAGUAAUCAUUUCUGAAUGCGUAAUCAUAAAUUUCAAAGAGAUCUUCUUCACUGGGAAUAGGAAUGUCAUGGGAACCUGUGGGAAGGUUUAGUGUUUGGGAACACGUGUUUGCAGUGGGUAGAAAUGCCCAUUUGUUACUUGUCGUUGUGGAGUUAAAGCAAAUGGUUGGUGGUAUUUGAAACCCAAGGAGGGGCUCUACAUCUGCACAUGUUGUAAAUUGUAUGAUAUGACCUAGUGUUACCUAUGUCCUCCUUCCACUUGAUGUUUCCUUUAUAUAUUUUGAAAAAAGUGCGUACAAGUCAUUCUCAUGCUUACGAGCAUUGCUUCCCUCUUCAGAAAAGCAAGGGCGAAGAAGGGUAACUAGUUUCCUUCUUGACAAUCUGGUGGCAUUACUUGGGCGCAUUAAGUGUAAAAACAGGGGCAAAUUUCUGCCAAUCUGAUACAGGCCCAGGCUACAAAAUUCCUUUCUCAAAUGAGAAACACAUGGGCUUGGAUGUUCUGCAAAGAACAAUUCUUGGACAAUUUGCUCUGACAAAAAAUGGGGAAAAGGGCCAUUCUGCAAAAUACUAAGGCUCAUAAUUUUCCCCACUUCCUCGUACUCAUCAGCUAAAAGAGUACGCAACCCCUUAUCAAAGUAUUUUUCUUUGAUUUCUCUCAUGCAUAACCUAAAAAAUU
rnacentral:lncRNA from 1 species